rnacentral:rRNA from 1 species
AGAACGAACGCUGGCGGCAUGCCUAAUACAUGCAAGUCGAACGAACACUUCGGUGUUAGUGGCGCACGGGUGCGUAACGCGUGGGAAUCUGCCCUUGGGUUCGGAAUAACAGUUGGAAACGACUGCUAAUACCGGAUGAUAUCGAAAGAUCAAAGAUUUAUCGCCCAGGGAUGAGCCCGUCGGUAGGAUUAGCUAGUUGGUGAGGUAAAGGCUCACCAAGGCGACGAUCCUUAGCUGGUCUGAGAGGAUGAUCGAGCCACACUGGGACUGGACGACACGGCCAGACUCCUACGGGAGGCAGCAGUAGGGAUAGUGACAAUGGGG